rnacentral:lncRNA from 1 species
GUUGUGUUUUUCUAGGUAUGUUUAUUUGAUAUGGUUUUUUUUUAUUUUCAUAUAUUUCGAAAAUUACGAACCAAAUCUGAAUUUGGACCUGUAAUUAUCUGAAAAAUGUUUGCAUUAGAAAGUCUUUUACGAUUAGGUCCCUGUAGUCCCAAAGGCCAAACAUGUGUUUUUAAUUUUGAAAAGUGAAUCGUUUGCCAGAGAAGAAGUACUGAAUCAGUUACUUCUUUUACUGUUAAGAGAAAACGUUGCUUCUUUAGUUCAGUUGAAAGACGUAAUGAUGGAAUCUGCUAGCAAUUUAUUGAAGAGUAUGUGUCGUUUGUUGAAAUUCCUGAUUUGGUGAAGCAAUUCUAAGUGAAGUAUCUAAUCCACUUUUCCUACCUUCCUUUGGCCAAUCACUCACAACGUACAUCAGUUUGAGAGAAGGUAUGGCAUUGGUUGAAAUGUAUUGAUGAUAAGAAAAGUAAAACAUUCGGUGACCUCGCAGCUGCACUAUUAUAAAAAUAUGACCUAAUGCUUUUCUCUAGCGCACACAGACGCAGACAUUUUUGACAGCUACGACAUAAAAAAAAAAAAAAAUAAAGUCGUCUGCUGAAAAGGAAACGCCACACAAAGACUACAGCUUCCACCAAAGUGUAUCAGAUUAUUGAAGGGAGAAGGAUUCCUGACUGGAAGAAGUUUCUAUCUGUUACCAGCAGACUCUCCCUAGUUUCUUUAGUAGUUUUUUAGUAGCAUGAGCCUUGGCAAAACAAACGUUCGGGAUAGUAGGCUUCAAUUGAAAACAAUAUUUAUCAUUUAUUGCUGAGGUUGAAUGUCACCCGGCAAGUUCG